rnacentral:tRNA from 2 species
UGGCCGAUAGUGUAAUGGUAGCACAACAGAUUCUGGAUCUGUUUGUGAGGGUUCAAAUCCUUCUCGGCCAG